CCUACGGGUGGCAGCAGUGAGGAAUAUUGGUCAAUGGGCGGGAGCCUGAACCAGCCAAGUCGCGUGAGGGAAGACGGUCCUAUGGAUUGUAAACCUCUUUAGGCGGGGAGCAAUGCCGGGCACGCGUGCCCGGAGGGAGAGUACCCGCAGAAUAAGCAUCGGCUAACUCCGUGCCAGCAGCCGCGGUAAUACGGAGGAUGCGAGCGUUAUCCGGAUUUAUUGGGUUUAAAGGGUGCGUAGGCGGAUUUUUAAGUCAGCGGUAAAAUGUCCGGGCUCAACCCCGCCGAGCCGUCGGAACUGGGGGCCUUGAGUGCGGCGGAGGCAUGCGGAAUGCGCGGUGUAGCGGUGAAAUGCAUAGAUAUCGCGCAGAACCCCGAUUGCGAAGGCAGCGUGCCGUGCCGCCACUGACGCUGAGGCACGAAAGCGCGGGGAUCGAACAGGAUUAGAUACCCUAGUAGUC
rnacentral:rRNA from 1 species